UGCAAGAUGAGCAUGUCCACGUCUAUAGAAGCUUCUCCACAAACCAACCUCAGUCCUCCGUCAUCUAGAGCUAAGCUACUUCUUUGUGUGCUUAAACUCCUUUCAGACAAAAAUAGCAUGACCACACUGGGAUUGAAGAAACGGCGUCGUUUGGCUGCUGAUGAAAACCGCCUUGGUGCUUGCUUCCGGUCAGCCUGACAUCACCAUGAGGAAGAAGACUUGGUGGUGGGUUUUCCUUGUUGGCGGCGUCGUUUCUCUCGAUGCUGCUUGCCACUCUUGGAUCCCCUUUAAUCAACACCUAUCCUUGAUUUCAGUUGUCGGUCAAGAGACUUCAUAGUGGGUUUUGCUCUUAUACUUGCCACUUCCUGCUUCUAGCCUUGCCAGUUUUCAUGAUCGGCGGUUAGUGGCCCUGCCGACAUCUCUAUUUCCCGCCACGUUUUUGUCUGUAUUCUACAACAACCGAAAAUUGAGGAUCCGUAGUAGUUUUCCCCACCGCCUCCUCGUGUUCCCCCCGGACACCUGACGUUGCCGGCAGACGUCCCUGUUUCACCCACCAGAUGACGCCUCCUGUUAUGGUCCAGGUUUGCUUGGGUUUUAAAUUCAGGGUUCAAGCUCAGUAUAACCGUCAACUUGCAGGUUUGAUUCUACAAUCUUACCUCUUGUGUUUUGAUUCUACAAUGUGAUUGGUUAUCUUCUCCAAAUUCUUGCAACCCAUGUUCUUAGUAUCACUAUUUAUUUCAUUUUACAUUAAGAUGUUUUUAAACUACCGAACUGAAAAAAAAGAGUUUGAUGCUUCAAGGUAGAAGCGUUUGACGAUUUUACUAAGUACAAAUAUGUAAUAAAUCAAAGAGUCAGUUAUUAUUGUGCAAGGAAUACGAGACAUCAGUAUGGGGAAGCUGAUUUCCUUCAGUCAUAACCCAAGAGCAUGAUUCUGUUAUGCUCACCCACUUGUUACCGUGAUUUGAAAGAAAGUUUCAUGAUGCACAUCAACUGCUUGAUGAAAUGAUUGAACCAAGGUGCGCCAGUCCUUGAAGGAUAAUAAGGAGCAACAUGGGAGAAAUUUGAGCCAAUUAAAUAGAAUACAGGGGUUGGAGGGGAAGGUUUAUGCCUUUAUGGGCUCAAUUCAACUUUAGAAAGUGAAGGAAAUCAUCUCAAAAACAUCAACAAUGAGGUACAUACAGCAAGAUUAAGGUAUUUACAUCGAUGAGCAGCUUCCCUACCGACCACCCUCAUGACUCCGUCAUCUGGAGGUAAGCUUCUUGUGUGGGUGCUUAAACACCUCUCAGCCCUACAUCAGGCUCACGUGACAUUGGGAUACAAGAAACGGCGUCGUUUGGUUGCAGAUGAAGCUGCUUUCCUGCUUGCUUCCGGUGAGCAUGACAUCAUGAUGAGGCAGAAGACUUAGUGGUGGUUUUUCCAUGUUGUCGGUGUAGUUUCUCCCGGUGUUUGCCACUUGUAGAUCCCCUUUAAUCGGCACAUCUCCUUCUUUGCGGCUGACUCAACCUAAAUCAGGUAAUACCGACCCGGCGGUGGGGUUUCCUUCUUGACGGUGGGGUGUUUCCGCAAAGCUUCUUGCCACAUAAUGCUUGGUUUGAAGUGUCGAUGAAAUGUGCCCUUUCCGCCUCUUCUUCACUUUGCCGACUCACCUUCUGUUAUGGCUUCAGCUCCUGAUGUGGGCUUCAAGGUAAGGAGGAGACAGAGAACAUCAAAGCAGGGGAGAAGCAGUGUUCUCAAUUUAGGAGUGUUUAUUUACUUCUUUUGGCUUCACAUUUUUCACUAGGUGUUGUUCGGAUGAGAGGUGGAAUGAUGGUUCAAUAACACAAAAUUAAAAAUUAAACAUCAAGCAUCAAGCAAUUUCGCGUUAAGAGUUCGAAUUUAGGUUUUAAAUCCAAAUUGUUGCUAGCAUAAGAAAAAAUAAGAGGGGAAGAGUAGUGUUCCAUCCAGCCAGAUGUCUUUGGAAGAAACAUGUCGAUAUGAAACCCAUCAAAUAAAGACCAAAAGAACGUGUUUUCAUUUUGCUUGUGUAUUAUACCUAGCUAUUUUUAUUUAUAUAAAUUGUAGAGUUGUAGUUCCAUUUUCUUAUUAUAAGGAAUUUUAAUUUUUAACAUUCAUCCAAU